CAGGUCGACUGGACAGGAGUUUGCUCUGAAGAUUAUCGAUAAAGCUCGUUGCUGUGGGAAGGAGCACCUGAUAGAGAACGAGGUGGCGGUGUUGAGGAGGGUCAGACACCCCAGCAUUAUACAGCUGAUUGAGGUCGACGACACGCCCACAGAGCUCUACCUGGUCAUGGAAUUGGUCAAGGUACGAAGCGUCUCUCCGCUCCCUUGUUUCCGUUAAAAAGUGGGCGGGGCUGGAGAAAAUGUAACCCUUUCAAGUUUAACAGAGUAAUGGAUGCAAGGACUGCCCAUUCCCAUGACAUCAACAGUAUGUUGUUCAUCCUGUUUUGGGGCUGUACAGUGUUGGUUUAACAUUUACUUUGUGAACAAACAUCAGAGUAAAACCAGGUUCUGAUUGGGGUGUGACCAUUGGACCAUUGUCGUGAGGUAUUAAGGGAUAAUCGAUGAGAGGCUAUGUGUUCUAUGUAAAAUAAUGACGCGGAACGUGUGUUUCCAACACGCUAGCGGAUUGGCACUGACCUUUCCACGGACUUGCAUUGUUUUCCAGAGAACGCAAAGAGCCCCAAGUUGAUUAUCCUGCUUAUACCAAGAGCCCCAAGUUGAUUAUCCUGCUUAUACCAAGAGCCCCAAGUUGAUUAUCCUGCUUAUACCAAGAGCCCCGAGUUGAUUAUCCUGCUUAUACCAAGAGCCCCGAGUUGAUUAUCCUGCUUAUACCAAGAGCCCCGAGUUGAUUAUCCUGCUUAUACCAAGAGCCCCGAGUUGAUUAUCCUGCUUAUACCAAGGCUAUAAUUAAGCAAUAAGGCUUGAUGAGGUGUGGUAUAUGGCCAAUACACCACGGCCAAUGACACAACACAAUGCGGAGUGCCUGGACACGGCCCUUAGCCUUGGUCUAUUGGCCAUAUACCACAUAAUUAUAUUAUAGGGUAAUUAAGGCACGCUCUAGAACGCCCAUCUAGCCAAUCAAGAUCAAGUAUUCAAAAAUGCCAUGGUAUAAUAAGUUAUAUUCUUCAAGAAUCAAUGGGUACAUAUCAUUCAUAGAAUCAAAUCGGGAACAUAUCAUUCAUAGAAUCAAUGGGUACAUAUCAUUCAUAGAAUCAAAUCGGGAACAUAUCAUUCAUAGAAUCAAAUCGG
rnacentral:lncRNA from 13 species